rnacentral:rRNA from 1 species
AGAGUUUGAUCCUGGCUCAGGAUGAACGCUGGCGGUCUGCUUAACACAUGCAAGUCGAACGGAGUAGCAAUACUUAGUGGCGGACGGGUGAGUAACGCGUGUAGAAUCUACCUUCAGGACGGAGACAACAGUUGGAAACGACUGCUAACCCCCGAUGGACCGAAAGGGCAAAUAUUUAUAGCCUGAAGAAGAGCUCGCGUCCGAUUAGCUAGUUGGAGAGGUAAAAGCUCACCAAGGCGACGAUCGGUAGCUGGUCUGAGAGGACGAUCAGCCACACUGGGACUGAGACACGGCCCAGACUCCUACGGGAGGCAGCAGUGGGGAAUUUUCCGCAAUGGGCGAAAGCCUGACGGAGCAAUACCGCGUGAGGGAGGAAGGCUCUUGGGUCGUAAACCUCCUUUCUCAGGGAAGAAAAAAAUGACGGUACCUGAGGAAUAAGCAUCGGCUAACUCCGUGCCAGCAGCCGCGGUAAUGCGGAGGAUGCAAGCGUUAUCCGGAAUGAUUGGGCGUAAAGGGUCCGCAGGUGGCUAUGUAAGUCUGCUGUUAAAGAGUCAUGUUUAACAUGAUAAGAGCAGUGGAAACUACAUAGCUAGAGUGCGUUCGGGGCAGAGGGAAUUCCUGGUGUAGCGGUGAAAUGCGUAGAUAUCAGGAAGAACACCGGUGGCGAAGGCGCUCUGCUAGGCCGCAACUGACACUGAGGGACGGAAGCUAGGGGAGCGAAUGGGAUUAGAUACCCCAGUAGUCCUAGCCGUAAACGAUGGAUACUAGGCGUGGCUUGUAUCGACCGAGCCGUGCCGAAGC